rnacentral:rRNA from 1 species
GUGCCAGCAGCCGCGGUAAGACGAACCGUGCGAACGUUGUUCGGAAUCACUGGGCUUGAAGGGCGCGUAGGCGGGCUGCCAAGUCCGGGGUGAAAUCCUCCCGCUCAACGGGAGAACGGCCCCGGAUACUGGCGAUCUCGAGGCGGGUAGGGGCGUGCGGAACUAUGGGUGGAGCGGUGAAAUGCGUUGAUAUCCAUAGGAACUCCGGUGGCGAAGGCGGCACGCUGGACCCGAUCUGACGCUGAGGCGCGAAAGCCAGGGGAGCGAACGGGAUUAGAUACCCCUGUAGUCC